rnacentral:rRNA from 1 species
AGUGAACGCUGGCGGUAGGCCUAACACAUGCAAGUCGAACGGCAGCACAGUAAGAGCUUGCUCUUACGGGUGGCGAGUGGCGGACGGGUGAGGAAUACAUCGGAAUCUACUUUUUCGUGGGGGAUAACGUAGGGAAACUUACGCUAAUACCGCAUACGACCUACGGGUGAAAGCAGGGGAUCUUCGGACCUUGUGCGAUUGAAUGAGCGGAUGUCGGAUUAGCUAGUUGGCGGGGUAAAGGCCCACCAAGGCGACGAUCCGUAGCUGGUCUGAGAGGAUGAUCAGCCACACUGGAACUGAGACACGGUCCAGACUCCUACGGGAGGCAGCAGUGGGGAAUAUUGGACAAUGGGCGCAAGCCUGAUCCAGCCAUACCGCGUGGGUGAAGAAGGCCUUCGGGUUGUAAAGCCCUUUUGUUGGGAAAGAAAAGCAGCAGGUUAAUACCCCGCUGUUCUGACGGUACCCAAAGAAUAAGCACCGGCUAACUUCGUG